GUGCCAGCAGCCGCGGUAAUACAGAGGGUGCAAGCGUUAUUCGGAAUCACUGGGCGUAAAGGGCGCGUAGGCGGUCCCUUAAGUCAGGCGUGAAAGCCCGGGGCUAAACUCCGGAAGUGCGUCUGAAACUAGGGGGCUUGAGUACGGGAGAGGGAAGUGGAAUUCCUGGUGUAGAGGUGAAAUUCGUAGAUAUCAGGAGGAACAUCGGUGGCGAAGGCGACUUCCUGGACCGAUACUGACGCUGAGGCGCGAAAGCGUGGGGAGCAAACAGGAUUAGAGACCCUGGUAGUCCACGCUGUAAACGUUGAAUACUAGGUGUAGCGGGUAUUGACUCCUGCUGUGCCGAAGCUAACGCAUUAAGUAUUCCGCCUGGGGACUACGGUCGCAAGACUAAA
rnacentral:rRNA from 1 species